AGCGAACGCUGGCGGCAGGCUUAACACAUGCAAGUCGAGCGGGCGUAGCAAUACGUCAGCGGCAGACGGGUGAGUAACACGUGGGAACGUACCUUUUGGUUCGGAACAACACAGGGAAACUUGUGCUAAUACCGAAUAAGCCCUUACGGGGAAAGAUUUAUCGCCGAAAGAUCGGCCCGCGUCUGAUUAGCUUGUUGGUGAGGUAACGGCUCACCAAGGCGACGAUCAGUAGCUGGUCGAGAGGAUGAUCAGCCACACUGGGACUGAGACACGGCCCAGACUCCUACGGGAGGCAGCAGUGGGGAACAUUGGACAAUGGGGGCAACCCUGAUCCAGCCAUGCCGCGUGAGUGAUGAAGGCCCUAGGGUUGUAAAGCUCUUUUGUGCGGGAAGAUAAUGACGGUACCGCAAG
rnacentral:rRNA from 1 species